UAACAUGUUGAACCGCAUGGUUCUACAGUGAAAGACGGUCUUGCUGUCACUUAUAGAUGGACCCGCGCCGUAUUAGCUAGUUGGUGGGGUAACGGCCUACCAAGGCGACGAUACGUAGCCGACCUGAGAGGGUGAUCGGCCACACUGGAACUGAGACACGGUCCAGACUCCUACGGGAGGCAGCAGUAGGGAAUCUUCCGCAAUGGGCGAAAGCCUGACGGAGCAACGCCGCGUGAGUGAUGAAGGUCUUCGGAUCGUAAAGCUCUGUUGUUAGGGAAGAACAAAUGUGUAAGUAACUGUGCACAUCUUGACGGUACCUAACCAGAAAGCCACGGCUAACUACGUGCCAGCAGCCGCGGUAAUACGUAGGUGGCAAGCGUUAUCCGGAAUUAUUGGGCGUAAAGCGCGCGUAGGCGGUUUUUUAAGUCUGAUGUGAAAGCCCACGGCUCAACCGUGGAGGGUCAUUGGAAACUGGAAAACUUGAGUGCAGAAGAGGAAAGUGGAAUUCCAUGUGUAGCGGUGAAAUGCGCAGAGAUAUGGAGGAACACCAGUGGCGAAGGCGGCUUUCUGGUCUGCAACUGACGCUGAUGUGCGAAAGCGUGGGGAUCAAACAGGAUUAGAUACCCUGGUAGUCCACGCCGUAAACGAUGAGUGCUAAGUGUUAAGGGGGUUUCCGCCCCUUAGUGCUGCAGCUAACGCAUUAAGCACUCCGCCUGGGGGAGUACGGUCGCAAGACUGAAACUCAAAGGAAUUGACGGGGACCCGCACAAGCGGUGGAACAUGUGGUUUAAUUCGAAGCAACGCGAAGAACCUUACCAAAUCUUGACAUCCUUUGACCGCUCUAGAGAUAGAGUUUUCCUCUUCGGAGGACAAAAUGACAGGUGGUGCAUGGUUGUCGUC
rnacentral:rRNA from 1 species